rnacentral:rRNA from 1 species
GUAGGGAAUCUUCGGCAAUGGGGGCAACCCUGACCGAGCAACGCCGCGUGAGUGAAGAAGGUUUUCGGAUCGUAAAGCUCUGUUGUAAGUCAAGAACGAGUGUGAGAGUGGAAAGUUCACACUGUGACGGUAGCUUACCAGAAAGGGACGGCUAACUACGUGCCAGCAGCCGCGGUAAUACGUAGGUCCCGAGCGUUGUCCGGAUUUAUUGGGCGUAAAGCGAGCGCAGGCGGUUUGAUAAGUCUGAAGUUAAAGGCUGUGGCUCAACCAUAGUUCGCUUUGGAAACUGUCAAACUUGAGUGCAGAAGGGGAGAGUGGAAUUCCAUGUGUAGCGGUGAAAUGCGUAGAUAUAUGGAGGAACACCGGUGGCGAAAGCGGCUCUCUGGUCUGUAACUGACGCUGAGGCUCGAAAGCGUGGGGAGCGA